rnacentral:rRNA from 1 species
UUGGGAAUAUUGUACAAUGGGCGCAAGCCUGAUGCAGCCAUGCCGCGUGUAAGAAUAAGGCCUUCGGGUUGUAAAGCACUUUUAGUCGGGAGGAAGGUGGUAAGUGCAAGAAUCUUAUCAAUUGACGUUACCGACAGAAGAAGCACCGGCCAACUCCGCGCCAGCAGCCGUGGUAAUACGGAGGGUGCAAGCGUUAAUCGGAAUUAUUAGGCGUAAAGGGCACGCAGGCGGUCUGUCAAGUCGGAUGUGAAAUCCCCGAGCUCAACCUGGGAGCUGCAUUCGAAACUGGAAGGCUCGAGUCGAGUAGAGGGGGGUAGAAUUCCAGGUGUAGCGGUGAAAUGCAUAGAUAUCGUGAAGAAUACCGAUAGCGAAGGCGGCCUCCUAGGCAGAAACUGACGCUCAGGUGCGAAAGCGUGGGGAUCAAACAGG